GACGGAGGGCGCAAGCGUUGUUCGGAAUUACUGGGCGUAAAGCGCGGGCAGGCGGUCUGUUAAGUCGUUUGUGAAAAUCCGGGGCUCAACCCCGUGAAAUGCGUACGAUACUGGCAGGCUGGAGACUGGUAGAGGCUAGCGGAAUUCCUGGUGUAGCGGUGGAAUGCGUAGAUAUCAGGAAGAACACCUGUGGCGAAGGCGGCUAGCUGGGCCAGUUCUGACGCUCAUCCGCGAAAGCGUGGGGAGCAAACAGG
rnacentral:rRNA from 1 species